rnacentral:rRNA from 1 species
AUUGAACGCUGGCGGCAGGCCUAACACAUGCAAGUCGAGCGGUUGAGGGGAGCUUGCUCCCUGAUUCAGCGGCGGACGGGUGAGUAAUGCCUAGGAAUCUGCCUAUUAGUGGGGGACAACGUUUCGAAAGGAACGCUAAUACCGCAUACGUCCUACGGGAGAAAGCAGGGGACCUUCGGGCCUUGCGCUAAUAGAUGAGCCUAGGUCGGAUUAGCUAGUUGGUGAGGUAAUGGCUCACCAAGGCGACGAUCCGUAACUGGUCUGAGAGGAUGAUCAGUCACACUGGAACUGAGACACGGUCCAGACUCCUACGGGAGGCAGCAGUGGGGAAUAUUGGACAAUGGGCGAAAGCCUGAUCCAGCCAUGCCGCGUGUGUGAAGAAGGUCUUCGGAUUGUAAAGCACUUUAAGUUGAGAGGAAGGGUUGUAGAUUAAUACUCUGCAAUUUUGACGUUACCGACAGAAUAAGCACCGGCUAACUCUGUGCCAGCAGCCGCCGCUGUAA